rnacentral:rRNA from 1 species
UACAGGGGGUGCAAACGUUGCUCGGAAUCAUUGGGCGUAAAGCGCACGUAGGCGGUUCGUUAUGUCGGAUGUGAAAGCCCUUGGCUUAACCGAGGAAGUGCAUCCGAAACUGGCGAGCUAGAGUACUAAAGAGGAUCGCGGAAUUCCCGGUGUAGAGGUGAAAAUUCGUAGAUAUCGGGAGGAACACCGGUGGCGAAGGCGGCGAUCUGGGUAGAUACUGACGCUGAGGUGCGAAAGCGUGGGGAGCAACAGG